CAGUGAAUUUUUAGUUACAUUCAUUUUACCACCACGGAUCAACAUAUGAAAUGGAUAAAAAACCGGAGAUCAGCAAAGAGGCAGCUGACGCCUUUAUUGCCUGUGGAAAGACUGGAAAUAUCAACACCAUGGUAUUGUUUGCUGCAACAUUUGGUGUUGCAUAUCUAGCACAAGGGGCAUAUAUGUACAAAACCAAGAAAUUCCUCAAGAGCAAGAACCGAGCACUUCUGCCACUGGGAGCAGCUUUCCUCCCUUCCUAUUUCUACUACUGGAGUGUCUUAUAUAAUUGUAGAAAAGAAAUGGGGAAGAAUUAUCCACAAUGCUUUGAGACUAAAGGUCCAAGAUAAACGGAAUUCAAUGAUGAUGAUUAAGACUACCAGCACAUAGGAAGACUGAGAACGAACUCUUAGUUAACUCAUUCAACCUAAAGUCACAUUUGAACCCACCAAAUCAAUGACUGUGCAAAUCCAGUUUAGAAGUGUAGGGGUGAAUGAGUUUAUAACAUUGGAAACAAAGAAGAUCAAAAUUAGUGGUCUGUGUACAUGUAUUACUGAGGUAUGUCAUAAGUGUCUAAAUUGUCUGAUGGUCACUCUGCCAUUGUCAAGCCUAGAUCACUAGACAUGUGUACUGAGCAGCGCUGGACACAGCCGGUCGCCUGGUCGCCAAAGGCGGCCAAAACCUUGAUUGGGCGACUAGAAAUUGUCAAAAGAUGGAUGUUACUGGCCCAAAAAUAAAUCUUUGGGCGAGUACAUUGGUUUGUUUACAAAAUGCUUGGUAAUAAUUGAAUUGAAUGACAGCUACUCAGUUAGUUGGGGAUGUCAUUAAAAACAUCUAUUUAUAUUGUUUUAUUGGCAUUUUUUAUUGCUCAAUACUGAAAAUAAUCUUAGUGAAAUAUUUUGGCUACCAAUAUUCAUUUUGGGCCUGUGGAAUAAUUUGUGUACUCGCCCAAAAAACAUUUUCUAAUCCCUGUAGCCAUUGACUUCCAUUUUGUCUACCUCGCACUCUAGAAAACUUGGAUUGGUUCAAUGACACUGCCAGACUACCCAAUAUAAGAGGAUUUCAUUGAUACACUUGUGAUCAGUAGAUGAAUAUUCUGUUGCAUCUUUUUAUCUAUAUUUUAUACUGUAUUUGAUGCAGUAUGGAAUUUGUGUACAAAAAUAUUGAAAUAUUUUCAGGGGUUUGUUUUCUAGUUACCGUACUGUUAAGCAUUUUUUGGAAAAGUUUUAACCGAUUCUAGUUUGGAAUAUUUAAAAUAUUUGAUUUAUUGUAUUUUUAUCAAUUCUGAAAUAAAAAGUGCUAAAACUGACCAUAGGCUAUGCCCUCUUUACAACUAAUUAGUUUGGUAUGCUUAAAGGUAGGUGACUGUUAUAACGAAAAUGGGACUGAUACAGAUGUGUUCACCAUAAUGCAGAAGACAUGAACAAAUGAUAAAAAUAAUGAUUUUUUUCCUGUAACGAAAAUUGAUAGACUGGGGAAUGGAGUAAGGGUGUUCUAGAAGCUGCUGUCUGCGCACCAUCUACUCUUUGUACAAAAGCGAUCAUGCUAACUUCAGACAAAUCAAACUCCACAUAUUGUCACCAUAUGUUUUUAGUUUUU